UGAGUAACACGUAUGCAACCUGCCUGCCACAGCCGGAUAAUCGGGAGAAAUUCCGUCUAAUACGGCAUAAUGCAUCGACGGGACAUCCUGUUGGUGCCAAAGGUUAAUUCCGGUGGCGGAUGGGCAUGCGUCGCAUUAGUUAGUUGGCGGUGUAACGGACCACCAAGACGACGAUGCGUAGGGGUUCUGAGAGGAAGGUCCCCCACACUGGUACUGAGACACGGACCAGACUCCUACGGGAGGCAGCAG
rnacentral:rRNA from 1 species